UACGAAAGGCAGCAGUGGGGAAUAUUGCACAAUGGGCGCAAGCCUGAUGCAGCCAUGCCGCGUGUAUGAAGAAGGCCUUCGGGUUGUAAAGUACUUUCAGUCGUGAGGAAGGUGUUAAGGUUAAUAACCUUAGCAAUUGACGUUAGCGACAGAAGAAGCACCGGCUAACUCCGUGCCAGCAGCCGCGGUAAUACGGAGGGUGCGAGCGUUAAUCGGAAUUACUGGGCGUAAAGGGCACGCAGGCGGUUAAUUAAGUUGGAUGUGAAAUCCCCGGGCUUAACCUGGGAAUGGCAUUCAAGACUGGUUAGCUAGAGUCUUGUAGAGGGGGUAGAAUUCCAUGUGUAGCGGUGAAAUGCGUAGAGAUGUGGAGGAAUACCGGUGGCGAAGGCGGCCCCUGGACAAAGACUGACGCUCAUGUGCGAAAGCGUGGGGAGC
rnacentral:rRNA from 1 species